AGUUCGAUUAUGGCUCAGAUUGAACGCUGGCGGGAUGCUUUACACAUGCAAGUCGAACGGCAGCACGGACUUCGGUCUGGUGGCGAGUGGCGAACAGGUGGGGUAAUGUAUCGGAACGUGCCUAGUAGCGGGGGAUAACUACGCGAAAGCGUAGCUAAUACCGCAUACGCCCUUCGGGGAAAGCGGGGAGACCUUCGGGCCUCGCACUAUUAGAGCGGCCGAUAUCGGAUUAGCUAGUUGGUGGGGUAACGGCUCACCAAGGCGACGAUCCGUAGCUGUUUUUGAGAGGACGACCAGCCACACUGGGACUGAGACCUGGCCCAGACUCCUACGGGAAGCAGCAGUGGGAAUUUUGGACAGUAAAACCCUGAUCCAGCCAUCCGCGUGUGCGAUGAAGGCCUUCCAGGUUGUAUAUAACACUUUUUGGCAAGGAAAGAAACGGCCUGGGAUAAUACCCCGUGCAACUGACGGUACCUGCAGAAUAAGCACCGGCUAACUACGUGCCAGCAGCCGCGGUAAUACGUAGGGUGCAAGCGUUAAUCGGAAUUACUGGGCGUAAAGCGUGCGCAGGCGGUUCGGAAGAAAGAUGUGAAAUCCCAGGCUUAACUUUGGAACUGCAUUUUAACUACCGAGCUAGAGUGUGUCAGAGGGAGGUGGAAUUCCGCGUGUAGCAGUGAAAUGCGUAGAUAUGCGGAGGAACACCGAUAGCGAAGGCAGCCUCCUGGGAUAACACUGACGCUCAUGCACAGCGUAGAGGGCAAACAGGAUUAGAUACCCUGGUAGUCCACGCCUAAACCAGUAUCAACUAAGCUGUUGGGGCCUUCGGGCCUUGGUAACAGCUGUUGCAUAACGCGUGAAGUUGACCGCCUGGGAAGUACGGUCGCAAGAUUAAAACUCAAAGGAAUUGACGGGGACCCGCACAAGCGGUGGAUGAUGUGGAUUAAUUCGAUGCAACGCGAAAAACCUUACCCUACCUUCCGGCAUGUCUGGAAUCCCGAAGAGAUUUGGGAGUGCUCGCAAGAACCGGAACACAGGUGCUGCAUGGCUGUCGUCAGCUCGUGUCGUGAGAUGUUGGGUUAAGUCCAUAACGAGCGCAACCCUUGUCAUUAGAUUUGCUACGAAGGGCACUCUAAAUGAGACUGCCGGUGACAAACCGGAGGGAAGGUGGGGAUGACGUCAAAGUCCUCGUGGCCCCGCUUAUGGGUAGGGAACUACUUACGUCAUACAAUGGUCGGGACAGAGGUCGCCAACCCGCGAGGGGAGCCAAUCCCAGAAACCCGAUCGUAGUCCGGAUCGCAGUCUGCAACUCGACUGCGUGAAGUCGAGAUCGCUAGUAAUCGCGGAUCAGCAUGUCGCGGUGAAUACGUUCCCGGGUCUUGUACACACCGCCCGUCACACCAUGGGAGUGGGUUUUGCAGAAGUAGUUAGCCUAACCCGUAAGGGAGGGCGAUUACCACGGUAGGAUUCAUGACUGGGGUGAAA
rnacentral:rRNA from 1 species